rnacentral:rRNA from 1 species
AUAUAAUUAAGGGGAGGAAAAGAAACCAACUCGGAUUCCCCUAGUAACGGCGAGUGAAGCGGGAAGAGCUCAUGUUGUAAAUCUCCAGCUUGCUGGCGAAUUGUAGUCUAAAGGUGCGUGCUCAGUCGUGGUCCCGGGCUAAGUCUGUUGGAAAACAGCAUCAUGGACGGUGACAAUCCGGUUCUUGCCUGGGGUCCCGCGGCGUACGAGCCGUUUCCGACGAGUCGUGUUGCUUGGGAUUGCAGCACUAAGUGGGUGGUAAAUUCCAUCUAAAGCUAAAUAUUGGUGGGAGACCGAUAGCGAACAAGUACCGUGAGGGAAAGAUGAAAAGACUUUUGAAAAGAGAGUAAAAUAGUACCUGAAACUGCUGAAAGGGAAGCGAUUGAAGUCAGUGUUGCUCCUGGUCUUUUUGCCGUCGCCCCCGUGGGGGUUGCGGCGUGGGGCCUGGAGCGUUUCAACAUGCGUUCUGUUCCGCGGGAAAUGUUCAGUGUGCUGGAACCUUCGGGGAAACGCACUGUUCUUGUCGUGGUUAGGACGGAGGACCUUUGCUCCUUUGACUGCGCGUUCCUCUCUCGGGUAUGCUGGUGUCUACUGCUUGCAGUUUUCAUUUUCAUGCUUGCGACUGUGCGUGUUAUUCAUGAGCGAACAUGAUGUUGAAGAAAUGGCUUUAAUUACCCCGUCUUGAA